rnacentral:pre_miRNA from 1 species
AGUAGGAUAACUGGGUCAAAUGGUGAUUUCACACCCAGUUUUCUGAGGAAUCUCCUUACUGUUUUCCAGAGUGGUUGCACCAAUUUGAAUUCCCACCAGCAAU